rnacentral:rRNA from 1 species
GACGAACGCUGGCGGCGUGCUUAACACAUGCAAGUCGAACGGAAAGGCCCUUCGGGGUACUCGAGUGGCGAACGGGUGAGUAACACGUGGGUGAUCUGCCCUGCACUUUGGGAUAAGCCUGGGAAACUGGGUCUAAUACCGAAUAGGACCACGCGCUUCAUGGUGUGUGGUGGAAAGCUUUUGCGGUGUGGGAUGGGCCCGCGGCCUAUCAGCUUGUUGGUGGGGUAAUGGCCUACCAAGGCGACGACGGGUAGCCGGCCUGAGAGGGUGACCGGCCACACUGGGACUGAGAUACGGCCCAGACUCCUACGGGAGGCAGCAGUGGGGAAUAUUGCACAAUGGGCGCAAGCCUGAUGCAGCGACGCCGCGUGAGGGAUGACGGCCUUCGGGUUGUAAACCUCUUUCAAUAGGGACGAAGCGCAAGUGACGGUACCUAUAGAAGAAGCACCGGCCAACUACGUGCCAGCAGCCGCGGUAAUACGUAGGGUGCGAGCGUUGUCCGGAAUUACUGGGCGUAAAGAGCUCGUAGGUGGUUUGUCGCGUUGUUCGUGAAAACUCACAGCUUAACUGUGGGCGUGCGGGCGAUACGGGCAGACUAGAGUACUGCAGGGGAGACUGGAAUUCCUGGUGUAGCGGUGGAAUGCGCAGAUAUCAGGAGGAACACCGGUGGCGAAGGCGGGUCUCUGGGCAGUAACUGACGCUGAGGAGCGAAAGCGUGGGGAGCGAACAGGAUUAGAUACCCUGGUAGUCCACGCCGUAAACGGUGGGUACUAGGUGUGGGUUCCUUCCUUGGGAUCCGUGCCGUAGCUAACGCAUUAAGUACCCCGCCUGGGGAGUACGGCCGCAAGGCUAAAACUCAAAGGAAUUGACGGGGGCCCGCACAAGCGGCGGAGCAUGUGGAUUAAUUCGAUGCAACGCGAAGAACCUUACCUGGGUUUGACAUGCACAGGACGCCGGCAGAGAUGUCGGUUCCCUUGUGGCCUGUGUGCAGGUGGUGCAUGGCUGUCGUCAGCUCGUGUCGUGAGAUGUUGGGUUAAGUCCCGCAACGAGCGCAACCCUUGUCCUAUGUUGCCAGCGGGUUAUGCCGGGGACUCGUAGGAGACUGCCGGGGUCAACUCGGAGGAAGGUGGGGAUGACGUCAAGUCAUCAUGCCCCUUAUGUCCAGGGCUUCACACAUGCUACAAUGGCCGGUACAAAGGGCUGCGAUGCCGUGAGGUGGAGCGAAUCCUUUCAAAGUCGGUCUCAGUUCGGAUCGGGGUCUGCAACUCGACCCCGUGAAGUCGGAGUCGCUAGUAAUCGCAGAUCAGCAACGCUGCGGUGAAUACGUUCCCGGGCCU